CAGCAGUGGGGAUAUUGCACAAUGGGCGAAAGCCUGAUGCAGCGACGCCGCGUGAGGGAUGACGGCCUUCGGGUUGUAAACCUCUUUCAGUAGGGAAGAAGCGAGAGUGACGGUACCUGCAGAAAAAGCGCCGGCUAACUACGUGCCAGCAGCCGCGGUAAUACGUAGGGCGCAAGCGUUGUCCGGAAUUAUUGGGCGUAAAGAGCUUGUAGGUGGCUUGUCGCGUCUGCCGUGAAAACCCGAGGCUCAACCUCGGGCGUGCGGUGGGUACGGGCAGGCUAGAGUGUGGUAGGGGAGACUGGAACUCCUGGUGUAGCGGUGGAAUGCGCAGAUAUCAGGAAGAACACCGAUGGCGAAGGCAGAUCUCUGGGCCAUUACUGACACUGAGAAGCGAAAGCAUGGGUA
rnacentral:rRNA from 1 species